GUUGGAAAAUUGAUAAGCCUUGUUAUUUUGAAGGCCAUAUGAUUUAUGCCGGAAGCAGAAGAAGUGCUCUCGGGAGAUAUUUUUAGUAUUGCUAUCAGACAUUGGAAAAUUGAUAUUGAUUGCGAUUUUGAAGAAUAUUUGUAUUGAUUCUCUAAAUAAGAAUCCAUUAAUUGGUUUAGUUACGUUUCUGAUUGGAAAUGAAAUAUAAGGUGUACGAAUGAAUUUUAAUUUUGAAUUGUAGAAGCCGAAAUAUGCAGUCCAUGAAUUUUAAUUUGCUUUGUUAAAGUGUAGCAUUUGAGACCAAAUUUUUUAGCAGAACUUUAAUUCUUAGGGCCAAGGACCCAAUAAGCCUCAACAUAUACUGCCCCCAUGCUUCCCGUGUUGCUUUUGGUAACUACGAAAGGGAGUAUUGAUAGCUACAUAAUUUCUAAUACAUUAAGACAUGGUUUUAUUUGUCCUUGACCAUACAAGUUAGUCCCUGUCCCCUAUUAAAUUGACCAACCUACCAAUAGAGUACUGAAUCUAAAUUUUGAUCAUCACAAUAUAUAGUGAAAAAAGAAUAUUUCGGUAAUUUACUAUAGGAGUUGGGAGUCUAUUUGAUCAAUCAAAAAACAUUUUCUUAAAUACUUGAUGCUACCGUCCAAAAUUGCAGCCCAAAUUUGCCUUAGAUGCUACCGUUACCCAAAAUAAAAUCAAAAUAGGAGCCAGCGCAGUAUAAAUUUACAGAAUCAUUGAUUUCUUAAGCCAUGUAUUGCUUCACACUUUUUAGAAUCCAAUUUCUUCAAUCUCAAAUUGUCCCAGUUAAUUAAUUAUUGACCAUGAAAAGCAAGGAAAAAAAGAAAACCACAUUCAUGCAAAUUAUGUCAUCACCUGUCUUGCUUCUAAGGAAUGCUAGGGAUUCUUACAUCAACAGCUUCAAUGGCUGUGCCAAUGACGUUGGACGAGGCGGCGCGGUGGUCUGUCCGGUUCCACAUGUGUUGAGUACAUAAAAGCACCAGGUCGGCCAUGCUACUAUUUCCGCCCCGGCACGGAUCGCUUCAGCCAAAGUGAUAUGAGCAGAACACGUGGGCUAACAUGAGCCGACCAGAGAUGAAUACAACCAGGGAAAAAUACCGACCAGAGGUAUAUACCGAGCGGGCACUCAUCCCCAGAGAAGCGAGAACACGAUCCCACAGAAUCGUGGUAGUUGCGCUUUUCCCAAAACCGUUGAAGGACACGCGAGAUCCACGUUUGCCCACAAUGUAACAAUUAGAGUCCCAUGAGGGGCUGCCACUACCUGAAAAAGGUGGGAUGAAUGGCAAACGGAAACGUGGGGAUAACGGCUAUAAAAGAAGAAGAAAUCGAUGAAGAAAAGGAAGAAAAACUGAGAGAGGGAAAACGCUGCCAAAUUGCAACCAGGCCAUUUCCUUACAAAUUUCUAACAAACUUCUUGAAUCCAAAUUACAUUGUUUUCCCGUAAAUACCUUGUGCUAACUUAGGCAUCGGAGGGUUUACGCCGGCAAAACCACCGGCGUCUUUGACCCAUUUUUGUGAACGCAGGUCUAGUGAGAGAAAUGAGGGUGAUACCAGCCUUAGUGGUUCGAACAAACAGUCGAUAAUACAAACGUUGGUGAAAGAAUCUGGUCGGUCCAAGGGCGAGCAGAUUUCAGCAUCAACAUUUUGGCGCCGUCUAUGGGGAGCUGGAUAAAAAGCUACCACCGAAUCAGUAAUUACCGGAGAAACAGCGAACGAUUGUUAUGGAUGUGCCGAGAAAGGAUGCUUUGAGGGAGGAUAACGAAACUGUGGAGACAAUUACUCUCCGGAAAAUUACAAACGAAGCCCGGGAGAGGAUGAUGCAAGACCGAUUGGAACGGAUGGAGAAACAAAUGGAGACUCUCGCGACCAUACUGUAUGAGCUGAGGGAUGAGCGGAGAAAGGAUUGUGAAACCCCCGUGGGGAGAGAUGAUGUUGGAGCAGAGCCCAGCUUCCGGAGGCGUAGAGUUGAGGAAAUCCCUCCGCCGGUAGACCAACUUGAUGGGGUGCAUCCCCACAGAAGCACUAGUCGGGUUUUAGGAGAACGAGUAGAUGAAAGAAGGGACCAACCUCGCCCCGGAUGGGUACCGGAGAUUGAUGGCCGAGGGGCCAGUAUUGAUGAAGGAGAGCUCAGACAGCGGUUGCAAAACCCCGAGCAGGAACGAGCUCAGAUAGCUGCGCGUGAUCCUGACCGUGCUAUAGAAUUGGAGGAAGAAGUGUGCAAAUUAGCGCAAGUGAUAGAGGAGAUACAGGGCAAGAAAAAGCCCCUGAGCUGGAGGAUAAUGCUAGAUGAAGAAUCUCCAUUAUCAGCUGUGAUCAUGGGUACCAUAAUCCCAAGAGAUUUCCGCUUCCCCGACCUCAAAUACUCCGGGCGAAGUGAUCCACUGGUGCAUAUUGAACGUUUCAACGACGUGACGGGCGUGCAAGGGUUAACACCAGCCCAGAGAUGUAGGGUGUUACCAUUGACACUGGAAGGACGAGACCGAGAAUGGUACCGCAAGCUGACACGAGGAAGUAUCAGAGGGUACGAGUAGAUGUGCCAAGAGUUGGCCGAACAGUUCCGAGGAGCAGUGGCCCCAGAGGAUGAUAUGAUGGAGCUAAUAGGAAUGAAGCAGGAGGAACAAGAAUCCCUUCGGGAUUUUGUAAAACGAUAUCACCGAGCCGUGCUUGAUUUGGGAGCUUUCAAUCACCCGCAGGCGUUGAGGGGAUUAAAGGAGGGAGUGAGGAUAGGCCGGCUAUGGUAUAACCUGAGAAGUCCCUUGGUACAGAAUUACUCAGCGGGGUAUGAGCAGGCAAAGAGAGACAUUGAAAUCGAAGAGGAAAAGUCGGCGAUGAUAAAAAGUGAACAGCUGAAGGAGCUGAGAAGAAAGGAAAGGAGAACCCCGAGUGGGAGCGGAUCGGGAAAGCGAGUUGGGGAAUCUUCAGCUAAGGGCGGAAUAUCAGCUCGGUCCCGCCCUUACCCUGUAGCUUUGAGACCGCAAUAGUUCCAACACAGCCGAGCCCAACCUCCUCGUACUUCAUUCCCGGAGCGGCAACGAGAAUUCAGGCAAAUGGCUGCCCGCCCUUAUCACAACGCUCCCAGACCGUUACAUACAAGUGGUUCCAGGGUAGGAAGACCAGACCAGCUAGCGACUAUACCAGCCUGAGAUGACAUUCAGGAUAGCCGAGCAGUUCAACUGAUAGACCAGAGCUUGGCAUAUAGACAGUACACUCCAUUGAAGAUCUCCAUGGAGGAAUUGUAUGAGAGGAUCGAAGGACGAGGCCUGCUGUACCCUCCAGCCCCUAUAACAAAACCGGCUCACCGACGGGAUAAUAACAGAUUCUGCAAGUUCCACGACACUCAUGGUCACACAAUCGACCAAUGUCGUGACCUGAAGAUUCAGGUGGAGGACUUAGUACGGAACCGGUACUUGGAUGAGUAUGUAGAGGGGGUGUCCCUGAUCAUCGAAUCACAGUAUACACGGGAUGAAGAAGUUCAGAGGGGUCUGGGAGGUGAACAGCCGACCAUCCAUGUGAUAGCUGGGGGGCCAACAUUGGCCGGGGAUUCGAACAGGGCACGGAAGAACUAUGAGAGAUAUGCCCUGACUAGCAAAGAAGUGCUUUUCAAUUUGCCGGCAACCAAGAAGGCAAAAGUGCGGCAAGUUCCCAUUAUGUGGACAGAUGACGAUGAAGAGGGUAUCUUAUAUCCGCAUAAAGAUGCACUGGUGAUCAAGGCAAUGGUGGCUGGUGCAGAAUUGUGACGAGUACUAGUAGACACAGGCAGCUCGGUUGACAUCCUGUUUAAGUCGGCUCUAGAUGAUAUGGGGAUUGCAGACUUGAAAUUAGAGCGGACAAAUACAUCCUUAAAGGGAUUUGGAGUGGGACGGUUAACUCCCAUGGGGAUCAUCGAACUCCCAAUUACUAUGGGGACGAAGCCAUUUGAAAGAACAAUGAUGUUGGAUUUUGUCGUGGUAGAAGAAAGAAGCCCUUACCAGAUGAUACUGGGGAGACCAUUCAUGAGGAUAAGUCAAUGCGUUGUAUCCACGCAUUACUUGGCACUGAAAUACAGAGUAAAUAGGGUGGUUGGCGUUGUAAAAGGCGACCAGAGGAUGACAAUGAGUUGUUAUGCUACAGCGGCCAAGGAGACACUGCAGGUUACUUCUCUAGAUAAUCGAGGAGAGUCCAAAAAGGGCCGCCAAGAGCCUGUUGAGAAACUGAAAGAAGUUGCGGUAAGCAAAAGCAACCCGAGCAGAAUAGUGAAGAUCGGGUCAGGAUUGGUUGGGGCAGUAAAAAGCGAGCUGAUAAAUUGCCUACAGUCUCAUGCGGAUAUAUUCGCCUGGUCUCAUGAAGAUAUGCCCGGAAUUGAUCGCGGGGUAGCUUGCCACAAGUUGGCAAUCAAGAAGGGGGCAAGGCCGGUGAGACAGAAGAUGAGAUGCUUCAACUAGGAAAGGUACGAGGCCAUAAAUGCCGAGGUGGAAAAGCUGUUGAAAGUAGGGGUGGGCAAAAAAAGCUGAUUAAUUAAAAAUCGAACCGAACCGAUCGGUUCGGUUCAGUUUUUUUGCGGUUUUUUUAUAACCAAAAAACCGAAAUAGUAAUAUUAAAAAAAUAGUAAAACCAAUCGGUUCGGUUUUCGGUUUUAAAAGAAAAACCGCAAAACCGAACUGAAAUCUCAAAUAAACCGAUUGUUUUGAAAGCUAAAGCUAAAACCCAAAAGCCUAAAAUCUAAAUCUAAACUUUUGACUUCUGUCUUCUUCGGUUCCCGACUUCCCGCUGGCCGCUGCUCGUCGUGACUUCUUCUGUUCCCGCUGGCCGUGCGGCAUCCUUCGCUGUAAUUUUUGUGAUCGUGCGGCAUCCCUCGCUGUAAUUUUUGCUUCUGCUAACCUUGUUACUGUCUCAACUGCACUCUUUUCAACAGAGUUGAAAUCAUUCUGCUUUUUGGCCUCCGUUGUCUGCACCCAGACCUUUACAAAUUGACCUUGUUGAUUGAUUGCUUUUGCUUGGGAAAUCACAGAGAAGAUGCAACACAUCAGGUGGGAUGCACUUUCCUUCUUGGGCAUAUUAAAAAAUUAAUUUUAACUUUUUUCUUUAAACCAAAAAAGAAAAAGAAAAAUUAUUAUCCAUAUGUCAUCAUCAUCAAUUGGAAUUGGUCAUAAUUUGGGACCACCAUGUUUGUGCUGCCAUGUCAAAUUUUUCUGCAGUUCUCUUUUUCAUUUUUUUAUAAUAUAUAAUCUCGAUUUUUGUAGAUAGUUUAUGUAAUAAUUAAUAUAUAUAUUCUUGGUUGGCCAAAAUGAAUACAAAUGCAAUUAAUGAAUGAAGAAGUUAUUCAUAAAGCAUCAUUUAUUUAUUUGUUCAUUGCGGUUAAGUUGUAUGCGAUCUAUUUGGUUGUUGGUUACAACCAGUUAAAUAUUUAUUUAAAAAUAAAAUAUAACCUGUUAAUUAAGAUGAAUGUUGUAAUAUGAAGUCUCUUAAUUUUGUAAAAUGUGCGUGGUUAUUCAAUAAUUUUGUAAAAUGGUAGAUUUAUUAAUUUAAAGUUUUAAAUUUAAAAAAGCCCAAAAUAGGCCCAAUAGGCCCAUAAUCGAAAUAAUCGAACCGAAUCGAAUCGAAUUAUUUCAAUUAAUCGAGUAUUUGAUUAUUUCGGUAAUUUGAUUAAUCGCGAUUAUGAUUUUAAAAUAAUCGUAAUCGAACGAUUAUGAAAAAUUUAGUAAAAAACCGAACCGAACCGAACCGCGCCCACCUCUAGUUGAAAGCAGGAUUUAUAAGGGAAGCCAAGUACCCAGAAUGGAUUUCAAAUGUAGUCCUGGUAAAAAAGGCCAACGGGAAGUGGAGAAUGUGUGUGAACUUCACGGACCUCAAUAAGGCAUGCUCAAAGGACAACUUUCCCCUACCCAAAAUAGAUCAGCUGGUGGACUCAACAGCAUGUCACAGUCUGCUCAGUUUCAUGGAUGCCUUUUCUGGAUACAACCAGAUACCCAUGGACGAGCAUGAUGAGGAAAGCACUGCCUUUAUAACUAACAUGGGUUUGUUUUGCUACAUGGUAAUGCCUUUUGGCCUAAAAAAUGCAGGAGCCACCUAUCAAAUGUUGGUAACCAAUAUCUUCAAACCGCUGAUUGGACACACUAUGGAGGUAUAUGUGGAUGAUAUGAUUACAAAGUCCAAAGAGCCGAGGGAUCAUGUGAAGCAUCUAGAAGAGACCUUUGAAUUACUGAGGAAGUAUGAGAUGAAACUAAACCCGGAGAAAUGUGCAUUUGGGGUUAGCUCGGGCAAAUUUCUGGGAUUCCUGGUAAGCCACCGAGGGAUUGAGGCCAACCCCGAAAAAAUACGAGCGGUUACAGAUAUGAGAUCUCCACGGACAGUUAAAGAGGUGCAGAGCCUUACAGGGAAGUUGGCAGCAUUGAACCGAUUCAUCUCGCGGGCCACAGAUAAAUGCCACACUUUCUUCCAAAUCAUAAAGAAAAGGAGAAAGAUGGAAUGGACAUCAGAGUGCGAGGAAGCAUUUGGGCAGCUGAAGGAAUAUCUGGCCCGUGCACCGUUACUAUCAACUCCGAGAGAGGGUGACCAGCUGCUUUUGUACUUGGCAAUCUCCAAGCGGGCUACCAGCUCGGUCUUAGUCAGGGAAGAAGAAGGGAAGCAACACCUGGUAUACUACACGAGCAAGGCCCUGGUGAACGCAGAAAUCAGAUAUCCACUAAUGGAGAAGUGGGCGCUGGCUCUGAUAACGGCAGCACGCAAACUCCGACCAUAUUUCCAAGCCCACCAGAUCGUUGUGAUGACUGACCAGCCCCUUCGGCAAGUGCUUCAAAAAUCAGAUGCGUCUGGUCGGUUAGUAAAAUGGUCUGUGGAGCUGAGCGAAUUUGACCUGUCCUACAGGCCCCAAGGAGCAAUCAAGGCCCAAGCCCUAGUAGAAUUUAUGGUAGACCGAGCUGAACCAGUGGAAGGAGAUCGGGAGGAGUAACAGUUAGAGCAUGAGAAAACAAAGGGGAUGUGGUUGGUAAUGGUUGACGGAUCAUGUAGUGAGCAAGGAUCCAGAGCAGGGGUUGUAAUACGGAGCCCAGAAGGAUCCGAAAUAACGUAUGCAGUGAAGUUCGAAUUUCAGCUCACAAACAACCAAGCUGAAUAUGAAGCCUUUAUCACCGGGCUCGGACUCGCACACGCCUUAAAAGCAGAGAUGGUAGAAAUCCGAACAGAUUCCCAAUUGGUAUGUAAUCAGCUCAAUGAUCAGUUCCAAGCAAGGGGAGAGAAGAUGGGCCUUUAUUUGAAGAAGGCGAAGUAGAUGGUCGGACUUUUUCAAGAGGUGGAGGUAAAGUAGAUAUCCCGGAAUGAGAAUUACCGAGCGGAUAUGCUGGCUAGGAUGGCUGCAAUUGCAGACCCGAAAUUACCUAAGUCGGUCCCACUAGAGGUAAGGAACUCGCCGAGCAUAGGGGAGGAAGUGGAGGUGAUGAGAGUAAGCACUGAAGAAUCCUGAAUGGACCCGAUUCGCGCGUAUGUCCGCGACGGAGUUUUGCCUGAGGACAAAAGGCAAGCGAGAAAGUUAAAAUACCGAGCAACGAGGUACACGUUAUUAGAUGAAGUGCUGUAUCGCCGAGGGUUCACCUUGCCCCUUUUGCGAUGUGUGGAUGAUGAGGAGGCAGAUUAUAUACUAAGGGAGAUUCAUGAAGGAAUUUGCGGCAAUCACUCGGGAGCAAGAACUUUAGCCUUUAAGGUACUCCGUCAAGGGUACUUCUGGCCAACCAUGCACCAGGAUGCAAAAAAGAUGGCAAAAAACUGUAAAAUGUGCCAAAGCUUCUCUGAGGUCCCCACACAACCCCCAGAAAAGCUAACCAUUAUGACAUCCCCAUGGCCUUUUGCACAAUGGGGAAUCGACCUGAUUGGUCCGUUACCGAAAGGGCGAGGAGCGGCAACCCAUGCAAUUGUAGCAGUAGACUACUUCACCAAGUGGAUAGAGAUGGGGGUCCUUAGCCAAAUCACAGAGAGAAAGACAACGGAUUUUAUCUGGAAGAAUAUCAUCUGCAGAUACAGAAUUCCUUAUACCAUCAUUACCGAUAAUGGGAAGCAGUUUGACAACAACAACUUCAGAGAGUUUUGCCGAAACCUAGGGGUGGAUUUGAAGUUCUGCACCCCCGCACACCCCUAGGCAAACGGACAAGUGGAAGCAGCCAAUAAAAUGGUAAAGAAACUCCUGAAGACUAGACUGGGAGAGAAGAAAGGAGCUUGGGUUGACGAGCUACCAGGGGUAUUGUGGGCUUACCGGACGACUCACAAAACCGCUACAGGGGAAACCCCGUUUGCCUUAGCUUUUGGUCAUGAGGCGGUAGUCCCAGCAGAAAUUGGAGUAGGAACACAUCGGACGAAAUACUUCAAUGAGGAGCAAAAUGGCGAGCAGAUCUGCUUGAGCUUGGACCUGCUGGAGGAGAAAAGGGAAGGGGCUUCGCAGAAAAUGGCCUAGUGUCAGCAAAGGGUCACGCGUUAUUACAACAAGAACGUACGCGUGAGGCAGUUCCGAACAGAAGAUUGGGUGCUCAGGAAGGUGAGCCAAAACACCAGGGAUCCCAACCAUGGAGCUCUUGGUCCGAAAUGGGAAGGCCCGUACAGGGUGAUACGAGCAACUGGACCAGGAGCCUACAAGCUGGCGUAUCCAGACGGACGAAAGGUGAAGAGGUCGUGGAACGUGGAGCACUUGAAAAAGUACUUCCAGUAAGCAAAGUGCUCUACUAGUUUUCAUUUUGAUAAGUUAUUUCUGUUAUGAGCAAUGUGAUUUGUGACACACACAUAUAUCCCAUACUUCUGUAACGCAUUCGAAAUUCAAUAAAGAUGAAUUCAGUAUGGAACCCUUCUGCUAGUAAGCCCAUUAAAUGCUUACUAAUGCAAGAAAGUGCAUGUUUCUGCUCGGUCAACGAAAGACCAACAGCUAAAGCUUCGAAAAAUCUAUUAAGGCAACAAAGUGCCUGUUUCUGCUCGGUCAACGAAAGACCAGCAGCUAAGCUUUGAAAAAUCUACUAAGGCAACAAAGUGCCUGUUUCUGCUCGGUCAACGAAAGACCAGCAGCUAAAGCUUCGAAAAGUCUACUAAGGCAACAAAGUGCCUGUUUCUGCUCGGUCAACGAAAGACCAGCAGCUAAAGCUUCGAAAAAUCUACUAAGGCAACAAAGUGCCUACUUCUGCUCGGUCAACGAAAAACCAGCAGCUAAAUUUACGAACUUUUACUAAGGCAAGUAAGUGUCUGCUCCUGCUCGGUCACCGAAGACCAGCAAGCGAUUUUGCGAAAAUUUUACUAAGGCAAACGGAUGCCUAUUCCUGUUCGAUGCACUAAAGAACCAACAGGCAAAACCAGAAAAGAAAGCCAAUAGAGAGCAUUCAAAUAAUUUUUUAUAAGCGUUCAAAUGUUUACAAAGCAAGUGAAAAACUAGAGUCUUUACAAAAAUAGACCUAAGGAUUAGGAGGAUCAACGACCUCAGCAGGUGAAGGGUCAGCUAUUUCGGGAGGUGGAAGGUCAGCAAUAUCGGAGGGAGGAGGCACGGACCCCUGUCCCACUUCAAAAACACGCUGCCCAGCUUCUCCCUCAUACACCCCAUCCAAAGGAGCCUCUACCUGGUCCUGCUCACCCUGCUCCUUAUCUGCUUGGUCGACAUCUGCCAUAUACCGCUGCACUCCGGCCUCCAGCUUGCUCAUGUCCAGCUCGGGAUAUUCUGUCUUAAGCACAGACAUGAUGCACUUGUAGGAGAAGGCAACCCCAGAAUCAUACUCGGCAUCCAGCCGAUCAUCCACAUCAGCAGAUUUGCCUUUCUCCUCAGCCAGCUGCUCACCCAAGGAUUUUAUUUCCCCCUCAACGGCGGUCCUCAAAGUAUCCCUUUCAGUUUGAGUAGCCUGAAGAUCAGAUCUCAGGUCACCCAACUCGCCCUCAAGUUUGGAGGAAGUGGAUUCAGCAACCGCAACUUUCUCCUCUAGCUCCGUGAUCUGCUUAUUCAGCUCAGCCAGCUUCUCCUUGGAGCGAUCAGCAGAGUCAGCUUUCUUCUUCAAUUCCUGGUUGUCAGCCUGGAGCUUCCUCUCAUGGCGCGCGGACCCAAUCUUGUAGCACGAAACUAUGGUUGCCAGCCUGAAGGACACUCUCUGAACAGAAGCAGCUAGCUCGGAGAGGUUCAUACUCUCGAUGUCCUUCACCAUCUUGGGCCCCACCGAUCUCUUGUAAUCCUUUUGAUACGAGCUCAGGUAGUCCGCUUGAUCCCGAGAUGGUAGAGGAGAAGAUCGGUCCCCAGAUGGGUAGCUGACCUCAGGACUUUUGUCAGAAGUUUUCUCCCCGCCACUCUUACGGGGUGGAGGAGGGGGCAGAGCAGGGACAGGAGCCUUGGAAGGGCCGACACUGGUUUUCUUUGGAGGAGGAGGGGGGUUGCUGGAGCUGCUUGGAGCCCGACCACGCUUCCUGCUCAUCGCGCUGAGGAUCGUGUUAUCCAUUCCAGCGGCUAGGUCUUCUAGGCCCGAACCGACCAGGCUUGUUGGUGACAGGAGGUCCUGGCAGGUAGACGCGUUCAACAGAGCAGUUUCCACCUGAAGCAAAGGUCGAUCUUCAAGCCCCCCGAUUAAACCCCACGACUCUGAAAUAGCAAAAGAGGUUAAAGAACUCGAUAAGUGACAAUUUGAGUAAGAGCAUAGGCAAAAAUGAACGACCUGGGGUGACAAAAUGUGUGGGAAGAUAAAUGUCCCCACCAAGCGAUCGAACCGCUGGACACCAGUUCCCCCCGGCAAAGAAGAAUUUGUUCUUCUAAUUUUUACAUGAAGAGGGAAACCCAGUGAUCGGUUUCCUCUUUGCAGAACUGGACAUAAAGUAGUACCAGCCCGCUUCCCUCGGGCUACUCCGUAGCUGGUACAGAUGUUUCACUUCAACAAGGGAAGGCUCCUCCGACCCGCACCUCUCCCAUAACACAAACAUUGCCGAGAGAACCCUCCAGCCAUUUGGGUGUAGUUGACUUGGGGCCAGGUGCAUACCGCCCAGUAUCUUGGCAAAAUAACGUUGAAGGGGCAGCCGAACUCUUAGUCUGAAACUCUCCAAAUGCAUCGUCACAUGCCCUUUCGGAGGCCGACUAGGGAUAUCACCUUUUCCAGGAACUACAAGAAGAACAUCGUUGGGGAUGUUGUAGAGGUUCCUAAGCUUAAAUAGAUCAGUGGGGGUGGUGGCACAAGCUAUGAAAUCAAUAGGGUAGGAAUCAGCCUCCACCCUAUGGCCAAGAUGCCUUUUCUUAGCAGGUCCGCUCGGUCCGGAACUGCUCCCCUCACCAUCACCAGCUCCCUCAGGGAUCCCAACCCCACUAAAGCUGUGGUUCUCACCAGAGCCCGACGCAGGUCCACCUCUAUUCCCUACAAGCUCUAGUUCGGGGGAAGGAGAGACAACCAAGGGUCGUGGGUACUCGAGGGUACCCCUGCCAUGGGAAGGACCUACGCUACUGGAGGGGCCUAAGAAAUUUGUGGGUAUUGACACGUUGAGGCCUGAAUCCCCUGAUUCUUCAUCACUUUCAUCAACAAUUAACUUUCUUUUCCGGUUUGACAUAUCGGAAUCCCAAAAGAAAACAAGGAAAACUCGAAUAUACGGAUACAAAAUGGGGCAACACGAAACCCAAUCAACAACAACCAGAGAAGGGAUUAAAAGCAGUACCUGAAAUGAAUUGGCCCUGAUAGCGCUGCCGUGACAGAGAAAAAACCAGCAAGUAGAGACUCCGGACGCAGGGAAUGUGAGUAAAGUUCAGAAAGGGGGGAGGUUAACGACGGAGAGACGAAUAACACGGAGAGACGAAUAACAAAACAAUGACAAUGUAAGUCUAGGGAUUUGAAACGAAAAAGGGGAAAUGAAAGCAUUUAAGUGAUGGGGAUGCCAGCUCACUCACCAAAUAUCGAGGACAGAUAGCCCGUCGUUUCAAAUUUCAAAUAUAAAGAAUCUGGAGGUGCCACAUCACCAACCGUUACAAGGGGCCAAGAUAGACGUAAGCCCAGAUAUGCAAUAAACAUGCUCAUUUAGGCCCAUACUCAGGUCGGAAUCUCCCCAAAAGAAAAAUGGUACCUCAGGUCCGCCCCAGCAAACAAAAGACCAGAUUAGAAGCUCCCCGGGUUGGUGAGAUUUGACCAUUAGUUUCUACUCUUCACUCAUUUCACUCGCCAGACCAGAAACUGGGGGACUGGUGUUGAGUACAUAAAAGCACCAGGUCGGCCAUGCUAUUAUUUCCGCCCCGGCACGGAUCGCUUCAGCCAAAGUGAUAUGAGCAGAACACGUGGGCUAACAUGAGCCGACCAGAGAUGAAUACAACCAGGGAAAAAUACCGACCAGAGGUAUAUACCGAGCGGACACUCAUCCCUAGAGAAGCGGGAACACGAUCCCACAGAAUUGCAGUAGUUGCGCUUUUCCCAGAACCGUUGAAGGACACGCGAGAUCCACGUUUGCCCACAAUGUAACAGUUAGAGUCCCAUGAGAGGCUGCCACUACCCGAAAAAGGUGGGAUGAAUGGCAAACGGAAACGUGGGGACAGCGGCUAUAAAAGAAGAAGAAAUCGAUGAAGAAAAUGGGGAAAAACUUAGAGAGGGAAAACGCUGCCAAAUUGCAACCAGGCCAUUUCCUUACAAAUUUCUAACAAACUUCUUGAAUCCAAAUUACAUUGUUUUCCCGUAAAUACCUUGUGCUAACUUAGGCAUCGGAGGGUUUACGCCGGCAAAACCACCGGCGUCUUUGACCCAUUUUUUUGAACGCAGGUCUAGUGAGAGAAAGGAGGGUGAUACCAGCCUUAGUGGUUCGAACAAACAGUCGAUAAUACAAACGUUGGUGAAAGAAUCUGGUCGGUCCAAGGGCGAGCAGAUUUCAGCAUCAACAAUAUGUUUCCCAUGUGCCCAAGAAUUUCAGUUAUGGCAGCUCCAAGUCAAGGGAUGACGAAAAGCUUAGAGAUAUGUUAAGACAGGCGACGUGUAAGCGGAUUAUUGGCCGGGAGGUGGGGCUGAAUCUACAGCGCCAAACGGAGGUGAUUGAGGCUACUACUAUGCGAAAGAGUUACAGUGUUGGCGUUGGAAAGAUAGGGAGAAUUGAUGAAGAUAAGGCUUGUUCCUUUGAGGAGAAUUUGUUGUACCCAAGGAGCAAAAGCCAUGCCAUUGGAAAUGUUUGCAUCGUUAAUUAGUUAGUGAAAUACUACUACAUUUAAUAUGCUAGUUACAGUUGAGAUUAAGGGUAAAAUUGCUUCAUUGUUUGUGUAUUAAUACAUUAUAUAUAAAAUGGUCACUCAUUUGGUGAUGUUCGUUAUGAAUCUUUGAACUUUUCAAAGUGAAACAAGUUCCGAAAUUUAGGCCAAUUCCCUUAAUUGGUUAUUGCAAUUUUUACAAUCAAUCAAAAUUAUUAAAUUUAUGCUGAUUGGACCAUUUCUGUUUCAUUUUCAAUCACUUGUUUAAAUUAAAUCUUUCGAUCGUGGUGGCCAUCAAGGGUAUAAAACGUAAUAUGUUGCAGAAUCCAAAUGUUUUCAACCCAUAGAAACACUUGUGGAAGUUUAUCAGACAUUACUAUUAUUAACAUUUAAAUCACUUAUUAGUUAAAACUAUUAACAAUUACGAUCGAUGUUGAUAUAUUGUAUAAUAACUAAUAGUAAUCCCUCGAAUUAGUUUAGUCUUCCUUGUUACCCUGCCUCUCAAACAUUGCAUACUUGUUCAGUUAUCUUAAUGUACGUGGUAGAUUUGGAGGCAUGCAUGGAUCGCUUUUGGAUGGCUCAAUUCAAAAGAAUCUUGAAGUUAAUUUUAUUUUUCAAAAUUGUCACAUACAUACAAUUUGAAACUUAUUAAAAGCCUAAAUACAUAUAAUUUAUGGUACAAUUUAGAGGUUUGUCAAAGUAUUAAUUCAGUAAUCUAUACUCCCACAAAAAUAUAGUUGGAGAUAUAUUUUGAUAAAAUCAAUAGAAAUUGGAAUCCAAACUCUUAUGGUGUGUUUACUUGAGGGUUUAGGGAAUGAGAAUGAAACCUAUGUUUAAUUGACAAAAUGUAAUUUGGGAAUGAGAAUAAAAUAUGUGGGUCCCACACAAUUUGGGAAUAAUGAAUGAGAAUUUCAUUCCUAUGGGGGGUUGUGAAUAAAAAUGAGGGAAUGAGAAUGAAAUUCAUUUUUACUUUUGUAUCCCUCUAAUUUUUUCAUAUUUUCCGAAUUAUCCUCGUUCAAAUCACAAUUAAUUUUAUUAUUUUAAA
rnacentral:lncRNA from 1 species